rnacentral:rRNA from 1 species
GUCGAUUAGCCAUGCGAGUCUAAAGGUUUCUUCGGAAACCUUGGCGGACUGCUCAGUAACACGUGGAUAACCUACCCUUGGGACUGGAAUAACCCCGGGAAACUGGGGAUAAUACCGGAUAGAUCAUGGAUGCUGGAAUGCACCUUGAUCCAAAGCUCCGGCGCCCAAGGAUGGGUCUGCGGCCUAUCAGGUUGUAGUGGGUGUAACGUACCUACUAGCCGACGACGGGUACGGGUUGUGAGAGCAAGAGCCCGGAGAUGGAUUCUGAGACACGAAUCCAGGCCCUACGGGGUGCAGCAGGCGCGAAACCUUUACAAUGUGCGAAAGCAUGAUAAGGGAACUCCGAGUGCCAGUAUCUAAUAUUGGCUGUCCUUGUGCCUAAAACGCACAAGAUAGCAAGGGCCGGGUAAGACCGGUGCCAGCCGCCGCGGUAACACCGGCGGCCCGAGUGGUAGCCGCUAUUAUUGGGUCUAAAGGGUCCGUAGCCGGUUCGAUGAGUCCUCUGGGAAAUCUGGUUGCUUAACAAUCAGACUGCCAAGGGAUACUGUCGAACUUGAGACCGGGAGAGGUAAGAGGUACUUCAGGGGUAGGAGUGAAAUCUUGUAAUCCCUGGGGGACCAUCUGUGGCGAAGGCGUCUUACCAGAACGGGUCUGACGGUGAGGGACGAAAGCUGGGGGCGCAAACCGGAUUAGAUACCCGGGUAGUCCCAGCCGUAAACGAUGCUCGCUAUGUGUCAGGUACGGUGUGACCGUAUCUGGUGCCGUAGGGAAGCCGUGAAGCGAGCCACCUGGGAAGUACGGUCGCAAGACUGAAACUUAAAGGAAUUGGCGGGGA